CACGUAGGGCGCAAGCGUUGUCCGGAAUUAUUGGGCGUAAAGAGCUCGUAGGCGGUCUGUUGCGUCCGCUGUGAAAACUCGGGGCUUAACCCCGAGCCUGCAGUGGAUACGGGCAGACUAGAGGUAGGUAGGGGAGAAUGGAAUUCCCGGUGUAGCGGUGGAAUGCGCAGAUAUCAGGAGGAACACCAGUGGCGAAGGCGGCUCACUGGCCCGGUACUGACGCUGAGGUGCGAAAGCGUGGGGAGCAAACAGG
rnacentral:rRNA from 1 species